CAAUAGUGUAUAUUAAAGUUGUUGCAGUUAGAACGCUCGUAGUCGGAUUUCGGGGCGUUCCGACCGGUCUGCCGAUGGGUAUGCACUGGCCGGAGUGUCCUUUUUGCCGGAGACCGUGCCUACUCUUAACUGAGCGGGGGCGGGAGACGGCACUUUUACUUUGAAAAAAUCAGAGUGUUUCAAGCAGGCAGCUCGCUCUUGCAUGGAUUAGCAUGGGAUAAUGAAAUAGGACUUUGGUGCUAUUUUGUUGGUUUCGAACACCGAAGUAAUGAUGAGAAGGGACAGUCAGGGGCACUCGUAUUCCGCAGAGAGAGGUGAAAUUCUCAGACCCGCGGAAGACGAACCACUGCGAAAGCAUUUGCCAGGGAUGUUUUCACUGA
rnacentral:rRNA from 1 species